rnacentral:rRNA from 1 species
CGGGCCAGACUCCUACGGGAGGCAGCAGUGAGGAAUAUUGCGCAAUGAGCGAAAGCUAGACGCAGCAACGCCGCGUGGGUGAUGAAUGCCUUCGGGUCGUAAAACCCUUUUCUGGGGGAAGAGUAAGGACGGUACCCCAGGAAUAAGCCUCGGCUAAGCUAUGUGCCAGCAGCCGCGGUAAUACAUAGGAGGCAAGCGUGAUCCGGAUCUACUUGGGCGUAAAAGAGCGUAGAGGCGGCUUCGCCAGUUGGACGUGACAAGCUCCCGGCUUAACUGGGAGAGACCGUUCAAUACUACGGGGCUUGAGGACAGCAGAGGGGGAUGGAAUUUCCGCUGUACUGGUGAAAAGCGUAGAGAUCGGAAGGAACACCAGUGGCGAAGGCGGCCCCCUGGACUGCUCCUGACGCUGAAGGCGAAAGCUAGGGUAGCGAACGGGAUUAGAAACCCCGGUAGUCCUAGCCGUAAACGAUGGAUACUAGGUGUAGGAGGUUAAGACUCCUUCUGUGCCGGAGCUGACGCGUUAAGUAUCCCGCCUGGGGAGUACGGUCGCAAGGCUAUAACUCAAAGGAAUUGACGGGGGCCCGCACAAGCAGCGGAGCGAGUGGUUUAAUUCGAUGCAACGCGAAGAACCUUACCAGGGCUUGACAUGUAGGUAGUAGUGAAGCGAAAGCGGAACGAUCCUUCGGGAAGCAUACACAGGUGCUGCAUGGCUGUCGUCAGCUCGUGCCGUGAGGUGUUAGGUUAAGUCCUGUAACGAGCGCAACCCCUGCCGUUAGUUACAAGUGUCUAACGGGACUGCCCGGCAAAACUGGGAGGAAGAUGGGGAUGACGUCAAGUCAGCAUGGCCUUUAUGUCAUGGGCUACACACACGCUACUAUUGGCCGGUACAAUGGGUUGCCAAGCCGCGAGGCGGAGCCAAUCCUCUAAAGCCGGUCUCAGUUCGAAUUGUAGGCUGCAACCCGCAUGCAUGAAGUUGGAGUUGCUAGUAACCGCAGGUCAGCCAUCACUGCGGUGAAUACGUUCCCGGGCCUUGUACACACCGCCCGUCACGUCAUGGAAGCUGGUAACACCUGAAGCCGGUGAGCUAACCGCAAGGAAGCAACCGU